rnacentral:tRNA from 1 species
GCCUGGGUGGCUCAGUUGGUUAAGCGUCUGACUUCAGCUCAGAUCAUGAUCCCAGGGUCCUGGGAUCAAGCCCCACGUCAGGCU